rnacentral:rRNA from 1 species
GACGAACGCUGGCGGCGUGCCUAAUACAUGCAAGUCGAGCGGAUCUUCAUUAGCUUGCUUUUGAAGAUCAGCGGCGGACGGGUGAGUAACACGUGGGCAACCUGCCUGUAAGACUGGGAUAACUUCGGGAAACCGGAGCUAAUACCGGAUAAUCCUUUCCCUCACAUGAGGGAAAGCUGAAAGACGGUUUCGGCUGUCACUUACAGAUGGGCCCGCGGCGCAUUAGCUAGUUGGUGAGGUAACGGCUCACAAAGGCGACGAUGUGUAGCCGACCUGAGAGGGUGAUCGGCCACACUGGGACUGAGACACGGCCCAGACUCCUACGGGAGGCAGCAGUAGGGAAUCUUCCGCAAUGGACGAAAGUCUGACGGAGCAACGCCGCGUGAGCGAUGAAGGCCUUCGGGUCGUAAAGCUCUGUUGUCAGGGAAGAACAAGUAUCGGAGUAACUGCCGGUACCUUGACGGUACCCGACCAGAAAGCCACGGCUAACUACGUGCCAGCAGCCGCCGUAACAC